UUGCAGAUUCAGUGAAUCAUCGAAUCUUUGAACGCAUCUUGCACUCCUUGGUAUUCUGAGGAGCAUGCCUGUUUGAGUAUCAUUA
rnacentral:rRNA from 1 species